CAGAGUGGGUCAAUUGCGAACUCGCAGAUCGGACUGCAAAACGGCAGAAGGUAAAAUGCACACUUUCUGUGCCGGUUGAGUUCUUUUAGAAGCGCGAGUGGAACGCGAACUUGGAGACUCGAUGGAAGUCAGAACUAUUUCCUCUCAACUUGACACUCUAUAAGAGUUUCAGUUCCCGAUUUAGCUGCUUGGCCCUUGACCCUUGAAGGUUAGCCGCUAGCUAGCUGGGGAAUAACCUGGAGCACGUAGCAGCUAGCUAGCUGUUUAACGUAUAUUCCACAGGAGCUGGUAAAAUAAAGUGAGAGUGAAUACUGGAAUUAUAUAUAAUAAGCUACAAAAAAGCAAGACCUAAAUGAACGUGUCUCUAUAACAAAUGGACAAUAAACAACGCAUUUCAUUAAAAAAAGACUACCGUUAGUCCAGACGGCUUGGCGAACAAAUAAUUGCCGGUCGUCUUAUCAGCUGUCAAGCAAAGGAAUGGAAUAUGGAAAUGUGUUAGAGCGUGUAUGCAGAUGAUGUUUCAAUAUAGCGUGUUACCAUUUCAUCGACUUCCCACCAGGACAGCUCGCGUGGAUGUCCUCGGUUGGCCAGUCUUCUCCCGGC
ensembl:lncRNA